rnacentral:rRNA from 1 species
UAACACGAACCGUGCGAACGUUAUUCGGAAUCACUGGGCUUAAAGGGUACGUAGGCGGUCUUGCAAGUGGGGUGUGAAAUCCCUCGGCUCAACCGGGGAACUGCGCUCCAAACUGCAAGACUUGAGGGAGAUAGAGGUGAGCGGAACUGAUGGUGGAGCGGUGAAAUGCGUUGAGAUCAUCAGGAACACCAGAGGCGAAGGCGGCUCACUGGGUCUCUUCUGACGCUGAGGUACGAAAGCUAGGGUAGCGAACGGGAUUAGAUACCCCGGUAGUCCUAGCUGUAAACGAUGAGCACUGGGUCGAGGAGCCUUCCACAGUUUCUCGGCCGCAGCGAAAGUGUUAAGUGCUCCACCUGGGGAGUAUGGUCGCAAGGCUG